GCCGCCCGGCGGCAACCCUUUGUGCUUUUGCAUCCCUAGAGUAUGCCGCCUGUGGAGAGAGUGUGUGCGUAGAGUGCUGCGGACCCAUCGCAGCGUGACCUGGAUCUCCGCGGGUGUGGCGGAGGCGGGCCACCUGGAGGGACAUUGCUUGGUCCGCGUGGUAGCUGAAGCGCUUGAGGGAUGACCUUUCUUUGGCACCGAAUGUCUUCAGCCUGUAUUUCACCUGCUUUAUUCAAGAAAUGAGUAGCUUCACUUGGUCUCUCUCUUUGUGGAGAAUGGUAUUUAGAAUCUAAGAAUGUCCGCAUCUUACCACGGACAGUUCUCUACAUGGCAGAUUCUGAAACGUUCAUCAGCCUGGAGGAGUGCCGGGGCCAUAAAAGAGCAAGGAAAAGAACUACUAUGGAGACAGCAUGUGCCCUGGAGAAGCUGUUCCCCAAACAGUGUCAGGUCCUUGGGAUUGUGACCCCAGGAAUUGUAGUGACUCCAAUGGGAUCAGGUAGCAAUCGGCCUCAGGAAAUAGAAAUUGGAGAAUCUGGUUUUGCUUUAUUAUUCCCUCAAAUUGAAGGAAUAAAAAUUCAACCCUUUCAUUUUAUUAAGGACCCCAAGAAUUUAACUCUCGAAAGACAUCAACUUACUGAAGUGGGUCUUCUGGAUAACCCCGAACUCCGUGUGGUUCUUGUCUUUGGCUAUAACUGCUGUAAGGUGG
rnacentral:lncRNA from 1 species